rnacentral:rRNA from 1 species
CCACGCCGUAAACUAUGAUUACUCGGAGUUUGAAAUUAAUUUAAGCUCCCAAGCGAAAGCGAUAAGUAAUCCACCUGGGGAGUACGUCGGCAACGAUGAAACUCAAAGGAAUUGACGGGGGCCCGCACAAGCGGAGGAACAUGUGGUUUAAUUCGAUGAUACGCGAGGAACCUUACCCGGGCUCGAACGGCAGAUAGACAAUGCAGAGAUGUGUUGGCUCUUCGGAGUGUCUGUCGAGGUGCUGCAUGGUUGU